UGAGUAACCUGCCCUUAACUCUGGGAUAAGCCUGGGAAACUGGGUCUAAUACCGGAUAUGACUCCUCAUCGCAUGGUGGGGGGUGGAAAGCUUUUUGUGGUUUUGGAUGGACUUGCGGCCUAUCAGCUUGUUGGUGAGGUAAGUGGCUCACCAAGGCGACGACGGGUAGCCGGCCUGAGAGGGUGACCGGCCACACUGGGACUGAGACACGGUCCAGACUCCUACGGGAGGCAA
rnacentral:rRNA from 1 species